rnacentral:lncRNA from 1 species
CUUUUCCCUAAGACAAACUCACAGUCCUGCAGUGAUAGCAUCACCCAAAAGUCCUUUAGGGGUUCCUAAAGGACUCUCUCUGCAAUGAGCUCAGGGGGCAAGAUGGCAUGUGCUAAUCCCUGAGAGCACUGCAGCCCAGUGUGCGUGUGGAGUGAACUUUUGGCUAAACGAGGCAGGAAAAGAACGAGCACAUGCAGCAACUACGUCUGCCUAUGCAGCCAGUGCAAAUGCUGAGGGCCAGCUGGACAAGACUGCAUGCAAAUGGGGUCAGGUGAGAGGCCCAGGUAGCACCCACUGAGCUCCACCAUUUCUCCACCUUCUCUUGCCCAAAUGUGUGACGAAGGUACACAGAACUCUUCACACAUCCUGCUAUGUACAGGUUGGUGCUAACACAGCAAUAUUGACUCAAAAGAUGAGAUAUUAAAAAAUUGAUUGCUGGGCUUAAUGGAUUGACUUGCAGGCCAGGGGCUGACCUCCAUCUGCCGUUAACCAUGGCUGACAGUUGUCAGACAGUUAUCACUAUCUGACAUGGCUCCUGAGAGCCAAAGAGGACCUGCUGAUCAUAUCCACGAUGCUGAACAUGGGCAGGUGUCAGUCCAUUUUGUCCCUCUUUCUUUUCCUUCAGCUCCAUCUGGCAAAGUGGAAAAACAGAAGGCAGACACAAGGAGAGAAAGAAGGCACAAAGAAGGAUACCUCACUGAAGAAGCCUACCUCUGCUUGCAUUGUGCUGCUGUUCUGAGCAGAGGAGGACCCUCCUCACCCAUGGUUCCGCCUGUCAGAUGGCAGGUGCAUGCUCAGCUCCCUAAGCCCCGUUUUGGCCAUUCUGGGUUCUGCCAUCACCCAGCAGCAGAGGCAUGCAUUUUUUCUGCAGCAGAGGGGCAAGGCCCCUGGCAGUGGAGGUAGGCCACAUGACGUGACACGACUGCACCCUCUCCAGCACUGUAAAUAUGCCACGCUUCUUUUUAUUGUUGUGUCAUAAUCACAAAGCUCCUUUAAUGUAGUUUGUUUAACUGGAUGACUUCUGCGCUAAAAAUAAGUGGAUCUCGCUGUUUCCAGGACAACCACCAUCCCAACGGCUUAUCUUGGCGCCUCUCCUCUGUCAGAAAGAUGUUCUAAAAAGAGAUGGCCAUGAAUAUUAAAGACUAGGCAUGCACACAAUAAAGCAUUCCAUGGGAAGAGCCCCGUGUUUAAA